rnacentral:lncRNA from 1 species
UUUUUUUUUUUUGAGAUGGAGUCUUGCUCUGUCGCCCAGGCUAGAGUGCAAUGGCAUGAUCUUGGCUCACUGCAACCUCCACCUCCGGGGUUCAAGCAAUUCUCCCUGCCUCAGCCUCCCAAGUAGCUGGGAUUACCGGUGCCCACCACCAUGCCCGACUAGUUUUUGUAUUUUUAGUAGAGAUGGGGUUCCGCCAUGUUGACCAGGUUGAACUUGAACUCCUGACCUCCGGUGAUCUUCCCUCCUUGGCCUCCUUAAGUGCUGGGAUUACUGAUUCCCAUUUUGAAGAACUGGUUUUGGUUUUGGCGUGGAAGCAAAGGAUGCCACUUAGGAAGUGAGAGAAAGGGUCACAGGUGGGUAUAGGAUUUGCUGGUGGGUUGGAUAUGAGGAUCGAGAAGCAGAGGAAGCAAAGGAUGACUGCUAAAUUUUGGGGUGAUUUGGGUGAAGCUUUAGGAAAGAAGUACAGAAGUACAGAGGGUUGACCACAGGACUCUGGUUUCAGGGAAGAGAUCCAACCUGGAGAUCAUGCUUUUGGAUUCAUCAGUUACCAGGGCAGUUGCGCUGGUGGACCUCUGGGGCAUUCUUGAGUGACUUCUCUUAGUUUAUGAUGAUGAUAGUUGUACUGACGGAAGGUGUGAAAGCCAAAAUUCACCUAGUACUUAUAAGGUGUCAGGCACUGAUCUGAGCGCUUUGUGUGCAUAAUCUGAUUGACUCCAUACAAUUCCUUAAUAUCCCAUUUUUGCAGCUUAAGGAAACUGAAGCACCAAAAGGUAAGUGUCACGACUCGUUUUUAGAGAAGCGUUUCAUUGUGGGGAUGCAGCCUACUCUGCAAUAGCACACUGGGCUGCCUUUGCACAUGAGUCUUUAUGCCCGAGGAACCCUUUCUUCCUCAGCCGUUGCAUUGUGCACAUUCAACAGCUGGGUGUUGUAAAAGAAUAAUGCUUGACAUGAACUCUGGGGACACGGGUUCAAGUCCAGUCUGUUAUUUACGGGACGCUUUGUUUUGGGAACAUGAACAUAUAGAGUUCACAGGAUGUUUUUCAGGCGAAGUUGAUCCAUGUCUGCCGUCUUUGCUUUGCCAUCCGUUCCUUCUCCAGUUACCAGCCGGCUUCUGCCAGCCUAACCCCUUCUAGCCAACUCUCAUUUCCUGGCUGUGCCAGCCUGAUUACUUCUAAUUGUCUUUGACUGCUUCCAGCUGGGUCUUCUAGCUGGCGUUCUGUGAGAGCACAGAGGCAGUCUCCCAGCCAUAUGGGGCGAGGAGAUGGGGAAGGAAAAGGGAAGGAAGGAAGCAGCUGGUACAAGUCAACUGAGAAAGCUUCCCCAGGCUUCACAGCCCACUGGGAUUGGUCCUGUUUCUGAAAGGGUUAACUCAUCCAAGUUAGAGAAUGACCCAUCUUUGACAAGACAAACAAUUAUAUUUGUUGAUCCCCAAAGGCAACCAACAAUGCAACUAAAAAUGCUUUUAGGAAGUCACUGGUAGCUUGUCUCCCCCAGGACUAGACGAGGUCUUGCUCUCAGGAGUAGUAAAACUCCACUUCAGAAUCAGUGAAUGAUUACUUUCAUUCAUUUAUUCAACAAAUAUAUACUGAACAAUGAUCAUGUCUCAGACACUGUGCUAGAUGCUGUAGGGUAAAUAAUAAUGAAAUUAGACACAGCUCCUGUCCUCAAUGAGUCUAAAAGAGAAGAGAGCCAUGGAUAAUAAGUACUACAGGACAUAAGGGGAAUGUGAAAUGACUAUAUGAACUAAGAGACAACAGACGCAGAUGGGCUUCUUGUAGCUUAUUGGUUGGGGAGGGCUUCAUGGGAAAGGGAACACCUGUGCUAGGUGGAAAUGAGUUGGUGACAGCAGAUUGGGGGUGGGCGAGGCACAGGCAAAGGUGUGACAGUACGGAGGCUCCAUCCCAGCCAAAGACAGCUGAAAUAUAGCGCCCGCCCCCACCCCCCACCCGGGAACUCCGCAGGAGAAUAAGGCUAGAAAUUUAGUUUGGGCUGAUUAGCAGAGAAUUUUCAAUGUUGCAUUACUAUCGCAUUGAAUAAUCAGAUGCUUUCUGCGCACUGAAUAUGAGGGCAAUAUAUUGUGUACCAAUUUGUUUUACAUAAAGACAUUUCUGGGGUGAUAUCUUGUUAAACAGGCCAUUUCAGAGACUAGGACUUGUAGUUCAAAAAUCAGUUACAAAGGGGACGCACGGGUAGGAUUUGAACUUCUCUUUGGCAUCCAUCCCAGCUUAUGGAAUUAGCAGUGAACUUGAAUC